rnacentral:tRNA from 1 species
GGCCGUCUCCCGCAUGGGCUGGUGGCCGUUUCUACUGGCCACGGCCGUCGGUUCGAUCCCGAACACCGCCGCC